CCCAAAUAACCAUCUUCCUUAUCAGCUAGAAAAGGCCGGGUGGGGGGUGAGGGAGGCAGCAAUGGCCUGCCCCCGUUAGGCCCGGCCAAUCACCCACAGGCCUCGACCGGCCGGGAAUGAUGGGCUCUAUGAUCCCCAGCAAUUGCCCCCAUGACCCUGCCAAUCAUCAAGCCUCGACAGGCCGGGGAUGACGGGCUCUAUGAUCCUCAGUAAUAGUCUUUCCCCCCCCAUGAGGUCCUGCCAAUUACCCACAGGGCUCGAUCGGCCGGGGAUGAUGGGCGCUGUGGUUCCCAGCAAUAGUCCUCCCCCCAAUAAGGCCCUGCCAAUUACCCACAGGGCUCGACCGGCCGGGGAUGAUGGGCACUGUGAUUCUCAGCAAAAGUGCCCCCCCAAUAAGGCCCUGCCAAUUACCCACAGGGCUCGACCACCCGGGGAUGGGCUUUGUGAUCCCUAAAAUAGCCCCCUCAAUGAGGCCCUGCCAAUUACCCACAGCCCUCGACCGGCCGGGGAUGAUGGGCUUUGUGAUCUCUAACAAUAGCCCCCUCAAUGAGGCCCUGCCAAUUACCCACAGGCCUCGACCGGCCGGGGAUGAUGGGCGCUGUGAUCCAGCAACAAGAGACUCGGGAGAUGCGAUUAAAUGGGGGGGGAGAGGGAAGGGGAGGGUCAGAGGGCGGGGGGCAUCCAGCCCGAUUCUGAGGGAGGGAGCAAGAAGGCCACGAUCCAUUUCUGAGGGAGAAACGUGGGAAACGGCUGGGCCCAGCUCCUCGGGGAGGCGAUGCUGAGGUGGGAACCUCAGAGAUCUGCCAAGACCCCUCCAUCAGGGACCCCAGCAAUGAACAUCCUGGCCCCUGUGCGGAGGGACCGGGUCAUUGGUGAGCUGCCCCAAUGUUUCAACAAGGAGGCCGCUCUCCACAGCAGGACCUCCUUCCAUCCCAAAGUGGUGGGCACGUGCCAGGCUCAACGGACGGGCACUGUGGGGUUUAAAAUCUCCAAGAUCAUCGUGGUGGGGGACCUGUCGGUGGGGAAAACAUGCUUGAUCAACCGAUUUUGCAAAGACACCUUUGACAAGAAUUACAAGGCCACCAUCGGGGUGGACUUUGAGAUGGAACGGUUUGAGGUUCUGGGGGUCCCCUUCAGCCUCCAGCUGUGGGACACGGCUGGCCAGGAACGCUUCAAGUGCAUCGCCUCCACUUACUAUCGGGGAGCACAAGCCAUCAUUAUCGUCUUCGAUUUGAAUGACGUGGCAUCGCUGGACCACACGCGGCAGUGGCUGGUCGAUGCCCUGAAGGAGAACGACCCCUCCAGCGUCCUGCUCUUCCUGGUGGGCACCAAGAAGGACCUCAGUACACCCGCGCAGUACAACCUUAGAGAGCGGGACGCCCGGAAGGUGGCGAAGGAGAUGCAGGCUGAAUACUGGGCCGUCUCCUCACUCACAGGUGAGAACGUCCGGGAGUUUUUCUUCCGUCUGGCCGCGCUCACCUUCGAAGGGAGCGUGCUGGCCGAGCUGGAGAAGAGCAACGCACGCCGGAUUGGGGACGUCGUGCGUGGCAGUCCAGUCCCUUCUUGAAAGCUUCCAGGGAUGAAGCACCCUCAAUAUCUGAAGUCAACUUCUGUUCCGUUGGUUGAUUGUCCUCACCGCCGGGAAAUUCUGUCCCGCUGGCUUUGCAGUCUCCUCUCUGAAUCGGUGCUCAGCCUCAAUCAUCCUGCAAACAUUCUCGGCCUCUUGACCUAUCCAUGUGGCCAUUGGUAUCCUCAUAAGGACUAGAAACGGAUUCAUGGGGACGAGCGAGACUUGUACGUGACGGAGAAGAGGAAGCGGACCAAAUGCUGCGCGUGACGGAGCGCCCCUGAACAGCCGCGCCCCCCCCUCAUUUGCACUGGACUCUUUUCUAGACCAAAGGAAGCCCCCUCCCCAUUUCUGACACAGGAGAAGCAGGCGCCCCCCCCCAUCUCCCUGACACUGCCAGACCAAAGAUUGCUUGCCGAGCAAAGGUGUCCAAGCCUGGCCACUUUGAGAGUUGUGGACUUCAACUCCCAGAAUCCCCUAGUCAUCACAGCUGGCUGUGGCAUUUUGGGAGUUGAAGUCCACAGUUUGAAGUCCACAAGUCUUCAAGGCUGUGGAAU